AUGAGAUUUGCUUUUCUUCUUCUUCCGUUCUGGGGGAUGUGUCACUCUGCAGGAGCACAUGUGUGUGUCUGCUUGGAUCACAGCAACAUUUUACUGCAGAAGAUGGAGGGCUUGCCACAGCCAUCUGGAAUAUUGCUGGCUCCAGUGCUUCCAGGGGAAAAACAUGGACAAAAUGGAUUUUCCUCUGCCUGGAAGCAAAUACAUAGAUUGUGUUUCUAAACCAAAGGAGCUCAUGCUUGCUGGAGCAGACUUUUGGAAGUGAUGUUGGCUUCUUAAAGGUCUCCUUGCUGGUGAGCAGUAGGAGACAGGGUCUGCCUCACUCCCCAGCCCAUGGAUAAAAUCAUAAUAUUUUCAGGUAAAAUCAUCAUUAAAAGAUAAAAUCAGUUUUGGAUAAAAUCAUCAUUAAAAGUU
rnacentral:lncRNA from 1 species